rnacentral:rRNA from 1 species
UGAACGCUGGCGGCGUGCCUAACACAUGCAAGUCGAACGGAGUUUACUCGCUGAUGAAGCUUCGGCAGAAUCUUGAGUAAACUUAGUGGCGGACGGGUGAGUAACGCGUGGGCAACCUGCCUCAUACUGGGGGAUAGCAGUUGGAWACGACUGAUAAUACCGCAUAAGCGCACAGCAUCGCAUGAUGCAGUGUGAAAAACUCCGGUGGUAUGAGAUGGGCCCGCGUCAGAUUAGCUAGUUGGUAAGGWCNCGGCUUACCAAGGCGACGAUCUGUAGCCGGAMUGAGAGGUCGGACGGCCACAUUGGGACUGAGACACGGCCCAAACUCCUACGGGAGGCAGCAGUGGGGGAUMUUGCACAAUGGAGGAAACUCUGAUGCAGCGACGCCSGUGAGUGAAGAAGUAUUUCGGUAUGUUAAGCUCUAUCAGCUAGGGAAGAAAGGCUCGAAAGAGAGAUGACGGUACC